UGUUUGGAUUUAGUUUAGGUUCAAAAGAGCACGCACAGAUCCUGAGUGUUGUCAAGCACCCGUGACUGGGAAACGGAGGCGUCCGAUCCGUAUUGGAGUCAAUUCGCCACUUAAUUGAAAAACCCUUUGAAAAGAUUCAGCACGUUGCCAUGGAGAACAUCCCACUGAAGGAAUGUAUAGAAGUAGCAGGGUUAACUGAGUGCCUUCCAUCUUCCCUCCAAGGGAUCUGCAAUGAGAUGGGAGAAGGCAACAGGCUGUGUGGGAACCACUGAAGCUGGGAUGGCAGGGAAAGAACAUCUUAGGCUAACUCUUCAAGCCUUGCUGUCACAUUUGCUUUUGAGUCUAUGGUGUCAGCUGCCUACCAGUUGCUUUCAUCUCUAGAAAUCUGUGACUUGCAGUAUGACAAGAACAAAAGGUGACAAUACAAAGGACAAAGGGCAAGGAAUACAGACGGAGAAGCCGCUUAGAGUCUAGGAUGGCAGAGGUUCUCUUGAUCAUUUCAUUUUUGAGCGCUUGUAGAGCUUUGGUGUACCAGAGGUGCUUGAACAGCUUACCACACCACAGAUGAAUGGCCUUUGGAUUUCUCCUAAGAAAAUGGGUUGAACCGAACUGGCGAUGCACUGUCUGGAUUGGAUGCAUGUAUGGUCUUACAUGACCCCCAUGAAAGGUUCAUUCAACCCCCCAAAGGGGUUGUGACCCACAGAUUGAGAACCGCUGGUACAGAAGAUCUUCACAUCACCUGAGAGCUUGCCUUGGAAGAAAUUGCAAAAGUUUUGUCUUUCUCAAAGGCUUCUUGCUUGGAAGUUCUUUUUUCACACAGGUAUCCACCAUGCAGUGGCACGUAUAAGAAGACCAUCACCAGACCUAGUGAGGCCAAUGUCACAGCCUUGAGAAAUAUCCAGAACGAUGAGUGAAGCCAACCUUGUUUUACUUUUCCCAUGAUGCUAGCUUGUCUCAGGUUCACUGCAGCAAUAUCUCAAGAAGCUUACGAUGCGCACACACGAGUCAGUACACGUACCAAUGGCGUUUAUUAAAUCCCUCUGCUAA
rnacentral:lncRNA from 1 species